rnacentral:rRNA from 1 species
GCGCGCGUCCUGUGUCCGAGUUAAGGGUGAGGGAGGGUCCGGGGGCUAAGGGUCUAGAAUGGCGUAUAGCACGGGUUAGAGGGUAGACAAAGGCUUUGGAUUGGGGCGGGGUUACGCGUCCACUCGUGGCGAAAGGGAGCGGUAUAGGGGAAUAGCAAAGUUAAAAAACGACUUAAAAAGCCACUAGAGAGGCCAUCCCCAGGACCUCUCCGCAGGGAGGCGGCGGCGGCGCGCGGCCGCGCUGACAACCAGCGGCACCGCCGCGAGCAGUGAACGUGAUAGACCGAGACCAGGAGGAGGUGGCUGGAGUGGGAAUGGAGGAUGUUCCGGGUCCUACAACUACAUUUAUUCAACACCUCUUGACGUUUAAGUUUACCGACCUCUCGAAGAAGACGUGGUGCUAGUAUAACCGGAGGGGGUGGUUGACUCAGACUCUGAUUACCCAUGAACGCACAGGCUACGUUACCACCGAACUUGGUUGUUGCAUGGCGCUAUACAUUACGACAACAACGACGUGCUUAUUACUUACGAUGUGAUCACGACGGUCUUAAUCUAUGUUUGAGAAAGACCGCACUGCUCUCACCAAAGUAUCCAUAAAUACUACAAGGGGUGAAGUAGUUCUGUAAUUUUAUACUACAGGCAUAACGAUGCUCGCAAGGUCUAUAGUAAUGUUUGCCUUUUUGAUUCUUCGACUUUCGGAUGGUCUAGGCCGGUGGAGCUCUACGUGGCCAUUGAACCAUGUGCUGUCAACGAAAUCUCUUCUACUUCUCAAUACCCCGAUAGAUAAAUUGAGGUAAAAGUGUAGCGAACCGUCUUCUAUAUUUACUAGGUCUCUAGGUCUCUGAAGCUACGGCCCACUUAAUAGUACGUAAUGCUAAGUUCGGUUUGUAGUACUUUUGUUCGUCACUCUAUCACUUAUUCGAGGCGAGUCUUCCGGUAAAGUACAGCUAAGUAGAAGCCAAACUCUACCUAUACGAACGAAAACGACCCACGUAACUAUAUAAAUGUGGAGUCCUUGUCUUUUAAGACUAGUUCAUGGCGUUCCUUUUAAAACGUCUUUUUCUUGAACAGAUAUCCCUUUCUGCCGAGUAACCUUUCACGGGAAAUUGAGGUCUUCUCCAUCCAGAAUAGGAAGCACGUGACCCGAAACUAUUAUGUUGUGUGUAAAUGGAACGAAGACCUCUCGAGAAACCACCCUUUGCGAAGUACUCCGGGAAGUUCCGAUACAAAGGCGCGGAUCUUUUGGUAUCGAGGCAACCUGGACCUUUCGACCUUCUUUUAUGGGCACCCGACCGUCCAAGACGUCAACUAAUGUACCAGACAGAGGAUAGUCUGUAAAAAUACGGGUGUAUACUGCCAGGUUCGUUGAAACGUUUGUUGGAGUAACCAGUGGCGGAUAUGAUACCAAAGGCAUGGUGGUAGUGUGGUUUAUCCUUCCGGGAACGAGGCUAUAAGUACCUGUCCCUUCAUCCGAGCUGUCGACCAAAACUCCUCGCUCACUCCGUCCAGUACUACUUCUGUAUACAACCACCGGGGGUGUUCGCGUAAGUAGGCCUUGGAAAGAUAUGUUUGAGUACCGGUCUCACGAAAACGGUCCUCUUGGGAUCCUUAGUACGUCUGUUUACGGGUGGUCUGUUAUAUAUGCUCCAAGACCUCUUAGUUAAAGCCUCACUUCUCUUACUUCUUUCAUAUCUUCACUUUCGGUGAUCAGUCUGACAAAGUUAGUCGGUUUGGCUUCUCUGACACUAAAUUGACUCCUUGGUUUGACAAUAACAGAAUUCUCCUGCUCUGACCUAGUAAAUACGGGCAUCGUCUAAUAACGAAAAAGCUUACCUAACUGAUAGCUCCCAUGCCAGCCCGGAUUAUUUGACCCUACCUCCAUCAUAAAGUAGUGUUUUUUUAGUGUUUUUUAAUGUGUACAUCACAUGUAGGUAUACACGUAGAUCAAAAAAACCUUGAAGUCUUAUGGUAAAACCGUGAUAACUUUUAUAUCACGAGUGACCUCGCCCACGUGGUUUCACAAGAAAACAACCGAGGGGCAAAGAGCAAAGACACUACUAAUGAUCGAACCACAAAACAACCUCUGUGUACUACCUUGUUCUUGGGUUGAAAUGUAAUGCUUACUUUCGUGUGGCGGUUGGGAGACCGGUCACCACUUUCUAACGUUCGAUGCAAAGCACCCUACUACGGGGUUGGUAGCCAAAGUAAUCAGUGAUCCAGAGCAAUCCACUACGGAGUUGGUAUCCAAAGAACUCGACAAAGAUCGCCGUGCGGUAACACCAGAAGUUUCAACCAUG